CCUACGGGAGGCAUCAGUGAGGAAUAUUGGUCAAUGGGCGAGAGCCUGAACCAGCCAAGUCGCGUGAGGGAGUACUGCCCUAUGGGUUGUAAACCUCUUUUGUCGGGGAGCAAAAGCCGGACGUGUCCGGCUGUGAGAGUACCCGAAGAAAAAGCAUCGGCUAACUCCGUGCCAGCAGCCGCGGUAAUACGGAGGAUGCGAGCGUUAUCCGGAUUUAUUGGGUUUAAAGGGUGCGCAGGCGGAUUUUUAAGUCAGCGGUAAAAUCGUGGGGCUCAACCCCAUCCAGCCGUUGAAACUGGGGAUCUAGAGUGUGCGAGAGGUAUGCGGAAUGCGUGGUGUAGCGGUGAAAUGCAUAGAUAUCACGCAGAACCCCGAUUGCGAAGGCAGCAUACCGGUGCACAACUGACGCUCAGGCACGAAAGCGUGGGUAUCGAACAGGAUUAGAUACCCCUGUAGUC
rnacentral:rRNA from 1 species